UGGGUGUACUGGAAUGACAGCCGUGAGAGU
rnacentral:piRNA from 1 species